ensembl:lncRNA
UGAAGAGCAAGCCACUGAGCAGCAUUCCUGCGUGAUCUCUGCUUCCUUUCCUGUCUUGAGUUGCCAUCUUGGCUGCAUGAAAAGGUUUUAGUCUCAAUCAGUGGAUUUUAAGUACAACUAGAGCACGGCUGGUUACCACCAAGAUUUCUUCGCACCACCCCUCUUCACCCCUUGGAACCGGAAGGAUGUGGAUAGAUGUCUUAAGAACAAAAUGAACUGGAAUUUUUUUUGAGAGGAAGAACAGCAUGAGACACUUACUUGUGUCCUCGGAAGCCUGCACAGAUAUUCCCAUCCCCUCUUCCCGAGUCACCACCUACUUCAGUGGAAUAUAAGGCUUUUUUUCUUUUCCUCACAAGGUAAAGUGCUUGUCAUGCAAGCCCAAGGACCCAAGUUCAAUCCCUGAAACUCACGCAAAGGCUAAAGGAGAAAUACAGCUCCACAAACUUGUCCUCUGACUCACCCACAUGCACAUCGUAUACAUGCAACGUAAGAAGCGAAAAGACUUUAAAAGUAUUGAAUCUAUGUCAUAAUUCCAUUUAUUGCCUAAACGACACUAAAGUGUGAACUAAUAAACGCCAAACCUAAACCUGGUGAUAUUGAUGGCGCCUACCCAAACACCAGUAAUUAAAUGUACCUUUGUGUCUCUUCUGGAAGUGUGACAUCAGGGAACAGGAGCUGGUGGAUGGGAGGAG